GACGAACGCUGGCGGCGUGCUUAACACAUGCAAGUCGAACGAAGUGGCGACCGUGUGAGUAACGCGUAAUCAACCUGACCUUCAGAGGGGGCCAACAGUUGGAAACGACUACUCAUACCGCAUACUGAAGGAGGGGCUUGCGGUUGAUUAGCUAGUGGGGGGGGUAACGGCCCACCAAGGCGAAGAUAAGUAGCCGGGCUGAGAGGAUGAACGGGCAAAGUGGGACCGAGACAAUGCCCAGACUCCUACAGGAGGCAGCAGUGGGGAAUUCUCCGCAAUUGACGAAAGUCUGACUGAGCAACGCCGCGGGAGUGAUGACGGCCUUCGGGUUGUAAAGCUCUGUUAAGCGGGACGCGGUACCGGAAUAGAAAGCCACGGCUAACUACGUGCCAGCAGCCGCGGUAAUAC
rnacentral:rRNA from 1 species